rnacentral:lncRNA from 1 species
CAGAGACUGAGUAGGAGAGAGCUUGGUGUUGAUUGAAACCAAAGAAGCUAUGCCACUUGGAGAUCUCUGUUGCCCCCUGUUAGAGAAGUGCUGGGCUGUCAAGAGACCACUUCAUGCUUCUCCUGUAACAGUACCUAUUGAAGCUUCUGGAAGUCACCAUUUCUUGGGCAGGGGGAUUUUCUGCUCUGCGCAGUUUCUCUGGUUUGGAAGUGAAGCAGUUUAACAAUGUGUCCUGAAGGAAACAGGUAAUCAAUAAUUUCAUUUUUGGUUACCGUAAAAGGUAAAUGAGACCCAUAUAUUUGUUGGGCAAGUAAGCAAUCCAGGGGUUAGUGAAGCUGAAGCAGGAGAUAACAAAGAACACAAAUGCUCACAAUACAGGAACACAAAGUAGAAAUCCUUGUUGGGGGAAAGAAGUAAGG